UCCUGGUUAGUUCAGUUGGUAGAGCCACAGCCCCGGCAAGGCGUUGGUUCCGGGUUCGAUCCCCGGACCAGGAC